AGAGUUUGAUCCUGGCUCAGGACGAAUGCUGGCGGUGUGCUUCACACAUGCAAGUCGAACGGGGUAGCAAUACCCAGUGGCGGACGGGUGAGUAACGCGUGGGAAUCUGCCUUAAGAUGGGGGAUAGCUGGCCGAAAGGCUGAUUAAUACCGCAUAUGCCUAUAUCUCGACAGUUUUAUAGGUGAAAGGAGUAAUCCGGC
rnacentral:rRNA from 1 species